AGCUUGCUCCCUGAUGUUAGCGGCGGACGGGUGAGUAACACGUGGGUAACCUGCCUGUAAGACUGGGAUAACUCCGGGAAACCGGGGCUAAUACCGGAUGGUUGUUUGAACCGCAUGGUUCAAACAUAAAAGGUGGCUUCGGCUACCACUUACAGAUGGACCCGCGGCGCAUUAGCUAGUUGGUGAGGUAACGGCUCACCAAGGCAACGAUGCGUAGCCGACCUGAGAGGGUGAUCGGCCACACUGGGACUGAGACACGGCCCAGACUCCUACGGGAGGCAGCAGUAGGGAAUCUUCCGCAAUGGACGAAAGUCUGACGGAGCAACGCCGCGUGAGUGAUGAAGGUUUUCGGAUCGUAAAGCUCUGUUGUUAGGGAAGAACAAGUACCGUUCGAAUAGGGCGGUACCUUGACGGUACCUAACCAGAAAGCCACGGCUAACUACGUGCCAGCAGCCGCGGUAAUACGUAGGUGGCAAGCGUUGUCCGGAAUUAUUGGGCGUAAAGGGCUCGCAGGCGGUUUCUUAAGUCUGAUGUGAAAGCCCCCGGCUCAACCGGGGAGGGUCAUUGGAAACUGGGGAACUUGAGUGCAGAAGAGGAGAGUGGAAUUCCACGUGUAGCGGUGAAAUGCGUAGAGAUGUGGAGGAACACCAGUGGCGAAGGCGACUCUCUGGUCUGUAACUGACGCUGAGGAGCGAAAGCGUGGGGAGCGAACAGGAUUAGAU
rnacentral:rRNA from 1 species